UCCAAGGUUGACAGGUUGGAAUCUUUGAAUGGCAGGGUGCUGCGCCCUUCCAUUCAUGCCAAGCUGGAGCACUGGUUUUGAUGGUGUUUCACUUGUAACACACCAAGCAGUAUGACCCAUUAUAUUUAUCAACAUGGCUAAAAUGAGGCCAAAAUAAAUGCCCUUUGUUUAUUUCCAAAGACAUGGAUGGAUCAUCUUUGUCUCUGAAUAUAUUAUAAAUACUCGUGUUGUUGAUUUUGUCCUGUUUGCUUAUUGCAGGAAAACUGUUAACGCAUUAUGUUGUGAAGACUCCUCUGUAAUCAGACAGCUAGCAGUAUUAUGAUUAUCAAAUAUUAAAAUUUGACUUAACAAUAUAGCGCUUCAAAUUAUAUAAGACUUUAUUUUUGUUUCAGAUAUUUUCCAGUUUCCCCUCACAACAAUUUGCAUCAAACCUCUUGUCUGCUCCUCAGCUGAAAUCAUCAUCUAGCAGUCACAAUAGUUGAGCGGUUGGAGAGGCAUGCAUUGCGUCCUACUACUGCUCAGACUAUAUUAUGUUUGGCAGACAAAACAUGCUGAUCAAAAAGAAUGUGUACCACAGGGGCCAGUGUUUCCAUUUGAGUGAUUGACAAGAAGAAGAAGAGAUGAGAAAUGUUAUCAUCAUAUUUUAGUCCCUACAUUUAUAGUGUACAGCUCAAUGUAUUGAACCGGUGUUGUAGAAUAUAAUUGGAGAUACAUGCGAACAUUAUAACAUUAUAUAUAAGAUGAUAUUUCAAAAGCAAUAAGAAAUAAAAAGUAUACAAAGGUCAAAACAGUAAACCUUGUGUUUACAGUGGACAGGUUUAAAGUGGAAGUGACUAGUUAACUGUUGAUCAUAAGCUGCACUGAUGGAAAAAAUAGUGGGAAAUUACUAUCUAGAAAACUGUUUAACGUACGACAACAGUUGUGGAACUUCAUAAAUGACCGUAUGUAACAGGGCUGGGCAGUUUUCCUUAUAUAGCUAUAGUGAAACCUUUUGAACACUAGUGAAGUCACUGUUUUUUUUCCAAUCUUCAUGCAUUUUGGUCGAAUAUUUGUUCAAAUGAUGGCUCAGUCCAGUUUCGAAAUUUUUAUGUCUAUUAAAAAAACAUAUCCACUAGAGCACGAGGCAAUUGUCUUUAUAUGGCUUUAAUGAAACCUUGUAAAUUCUCUAGAAGUGACAUUUUUAGCCAUAUCUCCAUAAAUUUUGGUCAGAAUAUUUAUUCUAAUGAUAGCUCAGUUGUCGAGUUUGUAACUGGUUCCGGUUUGUAGACUAACAUGGCUGCCAGUGGACAUGACAGUUUUUAGC